AACCAUGCAAGUCGAACGCUCACCUUCGGGUGGGAGUGGCAGACGGGUGAGUAACACGUGGGAACGUACCCUUUGGUUCGGGACAACUCUGGGAAACUGGAGCUAAUACCGGAUACGCCCUUUUGGGGAAAGGUUUACUGCCGAAGGAUCGGCCCGCGUCUGAUUAGCUAGUUGGUGGGGUAACGGCCUACCAAGGCGACGAUCAGUAGCUGGUCUGAGAGGAUGAUCAGCCACACUGGGACUGAGACACGGCCCAGACUCCUACGGGAGGCAGCAGUGGGGAAUAUUGGACAAUGGGCGCAAGCCUGAUCCAGCCAUGCCGCGUGAGUGAUGAAGGCCUUAGGGUUGUAAAGCUCUUUUAUCCGGGACGAUAAUGACGGUACCGGAGGAAUAAGCCCCGGCUAACUUCGUGCCAGCAGCCGCGGUAAUACGAAGGGGGCUAGCGUUGCUCGGAAUCACUGGGCGUAAAGGGCGCGUAGGCGGCGUUUUAAGUCGGGGGUGAAAGCCUGUGGCUCAACCACAGAAUGGCCUUCGAUACUGGGACGCUUGAGUCUGGUAGAGGUUGGUGGAACUG
rnacentral:rRNA from 1 species